rfam:Orchesella cincta Ocin01_Sc1718, whole genome shotgun sequence.
CCAACGGCCCUUUUAAGGGCCACCACAAUAUUCGAAGAGCCCACAA